rnacentral:rRNA from 1 species
UACGUAGGGUGCAAGCGUUAAUCGGAAUUACUGGGCGUAAAGCGUGCGCAGGCGGUUUUGUAAGUCUGACGUGAAAUCCCCGGGCUCAACCUGGGAAUUGCGAUGGAGACUGCAAGGCUUGAAUCUGGCAGAGGGGGGUAGAAUUCCACGUGUAGCAGUGAAAUGCGUAGAGAUGUGGAGGAACACCGAUGGCGAAGGCAGC